rnacentral:rRNA from 1 species
UACGUAGGGGGCAAGCGUUGUCCGGAAUUAUUGGGCGUAAAGAGCGCGUAGGCGGUCCGAUAAGUCGGCUGUGAAAGUCAGGGGCUCAACCCUUGGAAGCCGGCCGAUACUGUCGGACUAGAGUCCGGAAGAGGCAAGUGGAAUUCCCGGUGUAGCGGUGAAAUGCGCAGAUAUCGGGAGGAACACCGGUGGCGAAGGCGGGUCUCUGGGCCGAUACUGACGCUGAGGGGCGAAAGCGUGGGGAGCGAACAGG